rnacentral:rRNA from 1 species
UACGUAGGGUGCAAGCGUUAAUCGGAAUUACUGGGCGUAAAGCGUGCGCAGGCGGUUUGCUAAGACAGGUGUGAAAUCCCCGGGCUUAACCUGGGAACUGCGCUUGUAACUGGCAAGCUAGAGUGUGGCAGAGGGGGGUGGAAUUCCACGUGUAGCAGUGAAAUGCGUAGAGAUCAGGAGGAACACCGGUGGCGAAGGCGGCCCACUGGGCCAGCACUGACGCUGAGGCGCGAAAGCUCGGGGAGCGAACGGG